AUUUGUACAAAUACUGAUAAGUAUCCACUAGAACCACUCUCUAGAGUCAUUGUCCUCAGUCUGCUCUAGCAGCUCAAAUCAUUUGCUAAGCUCUCUAGCUCUCUCUAUUACGAAAUGAUUCUUGAAUUUCUAGGAAAAUUCAUCUUAUGCUAUCAGAGGUGAUCUCAGUGCUCUCAUACGCAUAAAGUCAUCAAUCUAAUCAUAUGCCACAACCAAAAGAUAAAACUAUAUUAACUCUACCGCAUUAAUGUAUGCGCAUCAAAGUUCUGUCCACAAUUUCUAUAAAGCACCAAUAUUCCAUUGUGGAUCCUUACUUGCAUGUGUAAAGUAGGAGAAUUAAUUAGCUACACAAAACCAAUCACU
rnacentral:lncRNA from 1 species